ACCUUCCGGUAGCCUUUGUAAUCAUUACAACAGUCCUGUAAGAUAGGGCAAUAUUAGUUAGCACCCUUACUCCAGAUCUGGGGGAAGGGAUAACUCUGUAAGCAUUCAUGUUUAGAUAGGGUUAGGGACUAGUGAGUACCAGGCUAUCUGUCCGGAAAUCUCAGAAACCACCAGUUUGCAAUCAAUCACCGACCAAUCUCCUCCUGAACCCCCCUAGCAAUAGUGAGCCAUCUAUUGUGAGGCAGAGAGAGGCCUGCCAUUUCUAAACAAGUCUCUGAUCUGAAUGCUUCUGUUUUCUUCCUCCUGCCUAAGGAAGUGGAGAGGGUUGGGGAGCCGAAUCCGUACUCCAUUGCUUCCAGGUCAGUAGAGUAGAUCAGUGGUUCCUAACCUGGGAGCCAUGAAGUUAUCAACCCCCUGCUGCCCCCUUUCGCAGGCACUUUUAAUCAGUCUCUGGGCUCCUGGGGGGAAGGGGGGAAUUAUUCACAAGCUAAAAGGAGUGGAGAGGCUGUUUCAAAGAGCACUUUGCAACUUUCAGUCAACCUGUGUGCUCCUGUUGGGGCAAAACUGCCCUUUGAAGCAGUACUCCCCCUCUUUUAAGCAAGCGGAUAGGACAUAGGGGGACUCCCCUGCCCACCUGCUUGCUCUGAUAUUUGAAGGAAGUGUGGUAUCUCAAAGCCCUUUACAAAAGGCCUUUUUGAAGCACUUUGUCUCCUCCUUUAAACAUCAAUGUCUGAAGGAGGAGGCUGCUUCAAAUACCACUUUUGCACACUCCCUCUGCUUUAGAUGCUCAGAUGGGAGCAGAAGGGGUUCUUUCUGAAAGUCUGCAAAUUGCAAGGGGGUGGUAAAAAAGGAGUUGGGAACCAUUGUAAUAGAUUCCAGCAAGAGAUUGCCAUUUUUUUGCGACUGAACAGGAGGCAGCGAACUAAAGGGCAAAGCCUGUAAUCUAGGCAAGAUUUGAAUUGGGGAUUUUCUCAUUUGCAGCUCAGUCUCUUAGCCACUGUGUUACGGAAUGGACUAUUUUUUUUUUGUCAUAGUCAGUUUAUUUACAUAUCACGUUUCCCACAAAUACAUCUGUGCUUAAACCAAUUUACAGCAAAAAAACCCACAAACACAUAGUCUAGGCACAGGAGUACAAUAAUAAUAAAUAAAGUAUAAUAUCACAACACUAAACACUGUGACAAAAAAAGCAGAAAAAGUCGUGACAUACCAAAAUAUAGUGUUUUAUACAAAAUAGAGUGCUUAACUUGGAAAUGACUUUGAAUUCACUGUCACCCCUACUAUUUUGCUACAUAAUUUAUUUUUUUAAGUAAGCAAGGCAAAAAUACCUGUGAAUAGGAGUCUUUAUUAAAUUGUGAACAUGCCUAGAAUUUUGUUGGUUUUGUUAUGUCUAUAUUUUCUUCUGAACCAGCAGAAAUCCGCAAGCCUGCUAUGGCACCUCUUUUCCAUGGCAGAAAUAUAUUGGUGAAACCACUCACUUUGUUUGUCGCUAACAGCACCCAAGUUGGGUGGAAAGAGGUUGGGAAGUGUAUCAAAGAAAUUAAUUUCCAGAGUCAUAUUAUAUCCCAUAACUUUACAAGCUUCUAGAAGGUCACUGGUAAUUGUUUCAUAGUUUUUGGCAUUAAUAUUUCCAAGAAAAUUUGUAACGAUGAAUUUAAAUGCUUUCCACACUCUGUCUUCAACUUCAUUGAACCUAUCAUCAAAUAUAUUGUCUUUUAUUAUUUCUCUGAUUUGUGGGCCCACAAUUAUCCCUUCCUUGAAGGGAAAGGGAAAACAAGGGAAAGCAAUCCCUUCCAGUGGUUCAUUGGCAAGAUUUCUUUGAUCUGUUAUUAAUGCUUGACGUUGUGGCCAAUGUUGCUAAAUAUAAUGAUGUGCUCCAGCUUAGAUGUCCCACUCAGAAAGAAAACAGUAUUUUGUGUAUUCCUCUUGUAAACCAAGGAGGAGUGCAAUAACUUUCAGAACAUUGCAGAUGUGCCAAGCAUAGUUAUUAAAAUGAAUGUGUUCUGGAAGAAAUAACAUGUUGUCAUACAAUUUAUGGACGGCAUAAGCUAGAGGAACAGGAGGGUAUCUAUUGCCAAAGUGGAGCAACACUGCUUUCAAGCUGAGUUUCCUAUCUUAAUACCACAAUAAAGUUUGUUUGCCAAUUACAUAAGUGGGAGGAAAUUUUGCCUCUUGAGUUUUAAGUGAUAAUUCUCCACUCACAUAGUGGAAACUUAUCAAUUAACAUACUGUCAUGGUAUUCUAGAAACAUGAGGACAAUCAAAGUACUUCAAAAGUCAGUAUUUCACUUACUCUUUAUGGCAACGCAACACACUUACUUGAACGGAACAACUGAUUGGUUCAAAAUUGGGAAAGGAGUACGACAAGGCUGUAUAUUGUCUCCCUGCUUAUUGAACUUAUAUGCAGAAUUCAUCAUGCGAAAGGCUGGACUGGAUGAAUCCCAAGCCGGAAUUAAGAUUGCCAGAAGAAAUAUCAACAACCUCAGACAUGCAGAUGUCACAACCUUGAUGGCAGAAAGUGAAGCGGUAUUAAAGAACCUUUUAAUGAGGGUGAAAGAGGAGAGCGCAAAAUAUGGUCUGAAGCUCAACAUCAAAAAAACCAAGAUCAUGGCCACUGGUCCCAUCACAUCCUGGCAAAUAGAAGGGGAAGAAAUGGAGGCAGUGAGUGAUUUUACUUAUUUUACCUAUUCAUUCUUAAGGAAAUCAGCCCUGAGUGCUCACUGGAAGGACAGACCCUGAAGCAGAAGCUCUAAUACAGGCAUCCCCAAACUUCGGCCCUCCAGAUGUUUUGGACUACAGUUCCCAUCAUCCCUGACCACUGGUCCUGUUAGCUAGGGAUCAUGGGAGUUGUAGGCCAAAACAUCUGGAGGGCCGCAGUUCGGGGAUGCCUGCUCUACUACUUUGGCCACCUCAUGAGAAGAGAACACUCCCUGGGAAAGACCUUGAUGUUGGGAAAGAUGGAGGGCACAAGGAGAAGGGGACGACAGAGGACGAGAUGGUUGGACAGUGUUCUCGAAGCUACCAACAUGAGUUUGACAAGACUGGCAUGCUAUGGUCCAUGGGGUCAAGAAGAGUCAACUAAACAACAACAGAGAACUGAAUGAAACCUAAUGAAACCUAAUCACUUAACAUCUGAAUACUUUAGCAUAUGUAUGCAACUCACAGCAUCAAUAUAAACAAGUAUUGACAUGUUCCAGCUAGUUGCAAGCAGUAUUAGAUGCAGCAGCUUACAGAGCAAUACACAAUCUAUGCAGUAAUUCUGGGUGAUAGAAAAAAUAUAUUCUUAUACCUGUAUUCAGUGCUAUUUUUCUAGAAAAAGAGGUACCUGAACUCAUAGAAUCAUAGAGUUGGAAGAGACCACAAGGGCCAUCCAGUCUAACCCCUGCCAAGCAGGAAACACCAUCAAAGCAUUCUUGACAUAUGGCUGUCAAGCCUCUGCUUAAAGACCUCCAAAGAAGGAGACUCCACCACACUCCUUGGUAGCAAAUUCCACUGCCGAACAGCUCUUACUGUCAGGAAGUUCUUCCUAAUGUUUAGGUGGAAUCUUCUUUCUUGAAGAUUCAAGAACUCAUCGUGAACUCCUCCCUUGUUCUCUUAUAAUGGCAAUGGCACCCACCUGAGAGGUGCUGGAACUGAGUUCCGGUGGGUUCCAGCUUAAAAAAGCCCUGUUUAUAUUCCUUAUAAAAAUACAUAUGUAACACCUAAAAGAACCCAUGCCACAACAUUUCUGUUUUCCUCUGAAAUUAACAAUUCAUAUAAACUACAUCAAAAUUUAAGGUAGCCUGAAGCUCACCAAUAGGCCAGGUAAAAAAUGUCUAAUAACUUCACAUUCAAAUGUAACCUCAAACCUAAUCGUUUUUACAUCAACCUUUCUCCCAAAGCAUCUGUUUCAAAGCCUCUUUCAAAUAAAAAAGCCACCAUGUAAUGUUUUAUGUAAUUUUGGAUAAUUUAUAAUCCACUGUGCUAAAAAACAAAAAAAUAGCACUUGAGGCUGCUAAAAAUAAGUUUGUAAAAACAAACAGAGAAUUAUUAUUUAUGAAGGAUUGUUGCCUGAAUUUCCUUCUUUUCUUGCUCUCUCUCCUUCCACCCCACCCCCCUUUUUUUUGCAUGGUGUAUUACAGUGUUUCCCAACUGGUGGUCCGCGGACCCCCAGGGGUCCGCGAGCUAUGCAAGAGGGGUCCGCAAGACUGGGACUCUGGCGAGGCAAGAUGGCGGCGCGGAGCUCCUAAACUCGGCGAACGUGCUAGCGCCGCCAAAUCAGCCCCCAAACAAGCAGAAAGCCACCCAAACCGCAGCCGCUGCUGCGUGGGAGCCGAACCCUUCCCCCGUGAGUCCACCCGCCCACCUGCACCAGCCCCUCCCCGUCGCUGCAUCAUACCCCUCUGCCAGCCAAUAGGGCUCAGGGGGGCGGAGUCCAGCUGCGGCGGGAGAAUCUUUCCAGCUUCCUGCUGGACUUCCGGCGAGGCAUUAUUGGCGCGCGGCGCGGCGCCACCGAGCUCCUGAGGGCAGCCAGCAUGUUCGCGCUGCCCGAAGGGCUCCUGAGCCGCUGAGACCGCUGCCGCCGCGUGCAUUCUUGGCCAAGUGAGUUGCGACAGAUUUAUACCUCAUUGAUUUCAAUGGGCCUUAAGCAUGAGUUGGUUUGGGAUAGCUGAUUGUGAGGGUCCUUUAUUCUACGGCUACUGCUUUAGUUUAGUAUCUGAACAGUACAAGUUAAAACUUGGUAAUUUAAUGAAAUUAGGGGGCCUUUCACACCUCUUUCCUAUAUUGCCUUACUCCCUAUAACAGGGACAAGUAAAUAAGUAUAUUUCUCAUUAAUAUCAGUUCUGUAUAUGUUCAAGUCAUGAGUCCAUCCAUAUUAGCCUGCAGAUUUUUCUCUAAAAGUCUGCAGGAAAAUUCACAUUUAAACAUGAAUUUUUUUAAAGGGCCUUUCUCUCAAAAUGCACAUUUUAAAUGUUAUUUGCUGUCCAAAUACAGUAUGCAUUUCAAGUACAUGUUGUUGAUUUAUUUAUUUUUUUGGUGGUGUUUGAGCCAAGAGCAGUAUUGAAAGAUUUGGGAACUAAACAAGCCAGUGGUUAAAUUGGAACUGUACAUUAUUUCAAUACUUGUAUUUCAAAACAAGACCAGUGCAGGCUAAAUCCUGUGUUUUUGACAGAAUUACAAGCCUGGUAGAUGAAGGGAAUGCUGUGGAUAUAGCCUAUCUUGAUUUCAGCAAGGCCUUUGACAAGGUGCCCCAUGAUAUUCUUGUAAAGAAGCUGGUAAAAUGUGGUCUAGAACUGAAAAUUAAAACUAACUGUAUACUGAUGGAGUACUCUGUUGUAACUAAAAAGACUCUUAAUUUGGCUCUCUCUUUUUAAUUUUAGGAUUAGGAAUUAAUGGGGGUCCUUGUCACAAUAGCGGCUCGAUGAGGGGUCCUCGAGAAAAUUUUGUUGGGAACCCCUGGUGUAUUAGUUUCUCUGCCAGCAGGCUUACAAUCUGUCUUGUGCUCUUUUAAUUUAAAACACCACCACCAACAUAUUUGCAAAGUACCUAGAAAACCUUUUUGUAAAUCUGGGAUGAAUUGCUGCAUCUGAUCUGGGAUACACCAAAGAUGUGACUUCAUCUUUGGGUUGUUCAGCUGUGUGAUCCCACUGCUUACUGGGACCUCUAGGGUAGGUUUCCCAAGAAGGGCCAUGCUGUUCUCACCCCACCCCACACUGCAAUGCCUUUUAGGCAAAAAGAACUUAAAAACCACCCCCUCUGUAUUAAAAGGUGAGAAUGGAGUGCAAAUUACUCAGCUGGCUGUUUAUUGAGUGGCCUCAUUACCCAGCUGGCCCUUGGUGUCAGAGCAAUGGGAUGUGUUAAUUUAAGUACACAUACUUAGAUUCGCCAGCCUGGGGCUUAGGAGUGUGUGAUGCAUAGCCAGUCCUUGACCAGCAAAGAGCUAAUGGUCUCUCCCCCCCUCCCCCAUGAAAAACCACAAGGCAUGUGUUUUGCUUUGCAUCUCUUCUACUUAGGAUAAAAGUGAGUGUGAUGUUCUCGAGAUUAAAAUCUGGCCAUCAGUUGUAAUUCCACCCAAGGUCUUUGGUCUUCCCACACAUCUUGACGUGGAAUUGUGAUUUGCAAAUCUUAAUGGUGUGCCAUAAACCAGGAAACUGGCUGUCCUCCUGCGGGAGGCAGUGACAUGAAUAGAGAUGAUAAUGUUAGUAUAAAUUUAUUGAGGGGUUAAUGAACACAAUAAGUUUGGGAGUUCUCUAAGCAAGUUGUUUAUCACAUUUGUUCUCAUGUCAACCUUCCAAGAAGUGCAGUGUGAUGUACACAGUGUUCUCAAAUUGCGUGUGCUCAACAACCUUGUGAGGUAGGUUUUGAUUAGGCCAGGAGAUAAUAGUGACUUGUGCAAGGUCACCAAGUAUGACGAAGUGGGGACUAUCCCUGGCCUUGAUUCCUUUAUGUCUUAUUACUAAAUCUCCUGUGCAGUCUUAGAUAGCGAUUUCCGUCAUAGAAUUAUAAAAUUGUAGAAUUGGAAGAGACCAAGAGGGUAAUCUAGUCCAAACCCCUGCAAUUCAGAAAUCUCAAAUGAAGCAUCCCUGACAGAUGCCCACCCAAUCUCUGCUGUAAAACGUCCAAUGAAAGAGAGUCCACCAUGGGUUCGGGUCCUACCCUCCAGAGCAGGAGAAAAGAAGCUUGCGCCAUCUUCCAUGUGGCAGCCCUUUAGAUAUUUGAAGAUAGCUUUCCUAGUUCCCCCUCAGUCUCUUCUUAUCCAGGCUGAGCUUACCCAACUCCCUGAAUCGUUCUUCAUAAGGCUUGGUUUCCAGACCCUUGAUCAUCUUGGUCACACUCCUCUGCACACAUUCCAAUUUGUCAAUAUCCUUCUUAAAUUUUGGUGCCCAGAACUAGACACAGGACUCCAGAUGUGGUCUGAUCAAGGCAGAAGAGAGACCCAUCGCAUCCUGGUCAUCGUUUCUUUGAGCUCCUGCCAUUGGGUUGGAGAUAUAGAAUAAUGAAGGCAAGAAUGAGCCGUCUCAAGAACAGUUUCUUUCCUAGAGCAAUCUUGGCCUUAAAUGGAAACUCUGGACUCUGAAGUCAUCUUAUUUAUCUGUUAUAUUGUUCUGUAUUGUAUUGCGCUUAUCAGUACAGUGGUACCUCUACUUACGAAUGUUUCUACUUACGAAUGGAACUCCAUCCGCCAUCUUGGAUGCGGUUUAGAUAGGAUUUUCUCUAAUUUUUAGAUAGGGUUGCUUCUACUUACGAAUUUUUUCUCCCAAUGCAUUCCUAUGGGAUUCGACUUACAAAUUUUUUCUACUUACGGAUGUGCAUUCGGAACGCAUUAAAUUCGUAAGAAGAGGUACCACUGUAUUUUAAUUUAUGUGGAGUGUCCUAUUUGAGUUGAGAUAGCAACCGAGAAAUUUUGUUGUUCCCGCAAGGGGGCAAUGACAAUAAAGAUCUAUUCUAUUCUAUUCUACUAUUACAGUACUUCCCUUGAAUGUUUUGCCCAUUUUUACCAUUGCUUAUUCUAGAAGACAUGCAACUCAGAGAGGAGAUACCUUCUUUGCUAUAUUGGUUUCUGAUGGUAAAGGAGCAUGCUGAGUUUCACAGAAUCCUAAGCCAAAUUUGGCCUACCAGGCCAUUUUUCAAAAAUGACUACUGCCUGCCCCACACCAGACAUCAUAUGUGGGGCUGAUACACAGUUGGAUUGGCUUUUCAAGUAGCUGAUCCCCGCAGAGGGCAGGUUUGAAAUUGAAGUGCAUCAUUUAAUGCAAGCAUAGGCAAACGCGGCCCUCCAGAUGUUUUGGGACUAUAGCUCCCAUGAUCCCUAGCUAGCAGGACCAGUGGUCAGGGAUGAUGGGAAUUGUAGUCCCAAAACAUCUGGAGGGCCGAGUUUGCCUAUGCCUGAUUUAAUGUGUCACUUUCUGCCCCAGUGGACCAGCUUUGACAGAUGAGUGGGACCAUCCACUUGUCAACCACCUGACAUAAUAUGAUGUCAUAUGAAAUGCAAGUGGCUGCUUCCACUCACCUGUCAAAGUUGUCUUAUGGCAGGCAUCCCCAAACUUCGGCCCUCCAGAUGUUUUGGGACUACAGUUCCCAUCAUCCCUGACCACUGGUCCUGUUAGCUAGGGAUCAUGGGAGUUGUAGGCCAAAACAUCGGGAGGGCCGCAGUUUGGGGAUGCCUGUCUUGUGGCGCGUGUGUGAGAGGGGGGGGGGAGAUAAAUAUCUCAACUGCCAUGCCAACGAUAAAUUGUGAAAGUAGCACAGACCAAGAUUUAUCUACUACGUAUGGGGGAUACAGCUCGUCUCCUUCUGGCCACCUUGCUUUAAAGCAAGGUGGUAUUUUAAUGUAUACUCUGAGUCAAAGACGAUGUGGCAAUGAGACAACUUCUGACCUCAUGCUCUGUGGUCUACAGAGUCUUUUGAGGUGCCACGGCUUGGUUCCAGUUGAAGGGUGCAGUUCUAGUGUAAAGUGGGCUGUAGCCACAGAAUGACAGUAGCUACGGGUGGCUGUGUCUGGCCUCUUGUGGAUUAGGACUUCCCUCUGAAUUUUCAGCAUUCAGUUAACUAGUUCUUAUGCAGCUAGUGUAAAAGGUUUGGGGGAGCGCAGAAUGUAAUAGAUUCAUACAGUCAAAUCUGUAACAUUUGACAUAUUGGGCUGUUUGAAAUUUAUAUUCUGGCUCUGCUGCUGUGAUUUUCACCAACACCUUUAGGCUAGAAGCCUACAUCUAACCAGCUGUUCUGCACCUGUAGCUUCUUCCAGCAGAAGCCCCGAGUACAUCAAGUGUUCUAAUGUUACACAACAGUAGCUGGUCCAAAUUAUCAACAUUAGCUGGGAAGAGAUUUGCGGGUGGGAGAAACUACAUUCUGUAGCUCUCAGUGAAUGGUUUUAAAUCUCUUAUGAAGAGGCGUUUUUGUGAGCUUGCCAGCUGUUCUCCUGCCAAAAAAUAUUCCCACCCAGAUUACCCGGAGCUCAUUCUUGGCAGGCAGGUAAGAUCAAAAGGCUUGACUCUGCAAUAGUCCUUGGAUGAGGCGGAUCACGUUGGGCCUCGUAAAGGAUUAAGGCUCUUGUAACAGAGUUCUGAAAUUACAGGAUUGCGUCUGGGGUGCUUGGGUCACCAAAAUACUUGGUCUCAUUUUAAAGUAGGAAUUCAGUUUAGUUGUAUGUAAGGAUGAGGGAGAAAAAAAUGUUUGGUGUUCCCAUUUUAAUGCAAACCUACCUCGUUUGUUCUUCCUGAACAGAUAUGGAAAUUGGAAUGAUGCAACUAUCGUUUGGAAUUCACGCUUCUUCAAAUUUUGCUAUGCAGUUGUUCAGACGAAACACACACAAAAGCAUACAGGGGAAGUGUGCAAGCAAAA